UACGAAGGGGGCUAGCGUUGUUCGGAAUUACUGGGCGUAAAGGGCGCGUAGGCGGCUCUGAUCGUCGGAUGUGAAAGGCCUGGGCUCAACCUGGGAAUGGCAUCCGAUACGGCGGGGCUGGAGUGUGGGAGAGGAAAGCGGAAUUCCUGGUGUAGCGGUGAAAUGCGUAGAUAUCAGGAGGAACACCUGCGGUGUAGACGGCUUUCUGGACCAUUGUUGACGCUGAGACACGAAAGCGUGGGUAGCAAACAGG
rnacentral:rRNA from 1 species